rnacentral:tRNA from 1 species
GCGGGGGUGCCGGAGUGGUCAAACGGGCUGGACUUAAGAUCCAGUGGCUUAGUGCCUGCGCAGGUUCGAAACCUGUCCUCCGCA